UGAUUUAUUUUAAACACUGCCAUGAUAUUUGUCACUCCAUUGAUUACCAGGGUUGAUUUGAUUUACCUGGCUGGCUAGGUGGGUGUCCCCUUCCUCCCUCACUGGUCCAUGUGCAGCCAGAAGUUGCAUGCGCAUUGAAUGAGGACAAUAAUCUCCAAUAGAAGGAGUGUACUGAUCUUCUUUCAAGGGCCUAAAAAA
rnacentral:snRNA from 1 species